rnacentral:rRNA from 1 species
GAUGAACGCUGGCGGCGUGCCUAAUACAUGCAAGUCGAGCGAACGGACGAGAAGCUUGCUUCUCUGAUGUUAGCGGCGGACGGGUGAGUAACACGUGGAUAACCUACCUAUAAGACUGGGAUAACUUCGGGAAACCGGAGCUAAUACCGGAUGAUAUUUUGAACCGCAUGGUUCAAAAGUGAAAGACGGUCUUGCUGUCACUUAUAGAUGGAUCCGCGCUGCAUUAGCUAGUUGGUAAGGUAACGGCUUACCAAGGCAACGAUGCAUAGCCGACCUGAGAGGGUGAUCGGCCACACUGGAACUGAGACACGGUCCAGACUCCUACGGGAGGCGGCAGUAGGGAAUCUUCCGCAAUGGGCGAAAGCCUGACGGAGCAACGCCGCGUGAGUGAUGAAGGUCUUCGGAUCGUAAAACUCUGUUAUUAGGGAAGAACAUAUGUGUAAGUAACUGUGCACAUCUUGACGGUACCCAAUCAGAAAGCCACGGCUAACUACGUG